rnacentral:rRNA from 1 species
UAGGGAAUCUUCCACAAUGGACGAAAGUCUGAUGGAGCAACGCCGCGUGAGUGAAGAAGGGCUUCGGCUCGUAAAACUCUGUUGUUAAAGAAGAACAUAUCUGAGAGUAACUGUUCAGGUAUUGACGGUAUUUAACCAGAAAGCCNCGGCUAACUACGUGCCAG